rnacentral:rRNA from 1 species
UAGGGAAUCUUCCGCAAUGGACGAAAGUCUGACGGAGCAACGCCGCGUGAGCGAAGAAGGUCUUCGGAUCGUAAAGCUCUGUUGUUAGGGAAGAACAAGUACCGGAGUAACUGUCGGUACCUUGACGGUACCUAACCAGAAAGCCACGGCUAACUACGUGCCAGCAGCCGCGGUAAUACGUAGGUGGCAAGCGUUGUCCGGAAUCAUUGGGCGUAAAGCGCGCGCAGGCGGUCCUUUAAGUCUGAUGUGAAAUCUUGCGGCUCAACCGUAAGCGGUCAUUGGAAACUGGGGGACUUGAGUGCAGGAGAGGAAAGCGGAAUUCCAUGUGUAGCGGUGAAAUGCGUAGAGAUAUGGAGGAACACCAGUGGCGAAGGCGGCUUUCUGGCCUGUAACUGACGCUGAGGCGCGAAAGCGUGGGGAGCAAACAGGAUUAGAUACCCUGGUAGUCCACGCCGUAAACGAUGAGUGCUAAGUGUUGGAGGGUUUCCGCCCUUCAGUGCUGCAGCUAACGCAUUAAGCACUCCGCCUGGGGAGUACUGCGCAAGAUCG